rnacentral:lncRNA from 1 species
AUUCAUGCAUUGUUUUGAUCUCUUCCUUAUUGGAUCUCAAAUAUGGAUGCUCUGUUUUCUUUUUACUUCUGAAUGUUUCUUAAGCAUCUCCUAUAAUCACCUCAUCAUGUGCAUAUUCUCCCUAAUAAAUCUAGUAAAAAAAGGAAUAUAAUAUGAAAGGAGUAGGAGACGAAUGAGAAAUAGAGAGAGGCUCUUAUUAUUUUCCCUCCC